UUGGCUCGGAUUCGUCCGU
rnacentral:snRNA from 1 species